rnacentral:rRNA from 1 species
UACGAAGGGGGCUAGCGUUGUUCGGAAUUACUGGGCGUAAAGCGCGCGCAGGCGGCUAUCCAAGUCAGUGGUGAAAGCCCGGAGCUCAACUCCGGAACUGCCAUUGAAACUGUUUAGCUUGAGGAUGAGAGAGGUGAGUGGAAUUCCCAGUGUAGAGGUGAAAUUCGUAGAUAUUGGGAAGGACACCGGUGGCGAAGGCGGCUCACUGGCUCAUUACUGACGCUCAGGCGCGAUAGCGUGGGGAUCAAACAGG